AAUAUAUGAUGUACCACCACAAAUGCAUCAGAUCCUGUCUGAUCUUGGAAGCUAAGCAGGGUCAUACCUAAUUAGUACUUGGAUGGGAGAGCACUUACGAAUACCAGGCGUACUAUAUUU
rnacentral:rRNA from 1 species